GAUGAAGAACGCAGUGAAAUGCGAUAAGUAAUGUGAAUUGCAGAAUUCAGUGAAUCAUCGAGUCUUUGAACGCACAUUGCGCCCCCUGGUAUUCCGGGGGGCAUGCCUGUCCGAGCGUCAUUGCUGCCCUCAAGCACGGCUUGUGUGUUGGGCCCCGCCCCCCGGCUCCCGGGGGGCGGGCCCGAAAGGCAGCGGCGGCACCGCGUCCGGUCCUCGAGCGUAUGGGGCUUCGUCACCCGCUCCGUAGGCCCGGCCGGCGCCCGCCGGCGACCCCCCUCAAUCUUUUCAGGUUGACCUCGGAUCAGGUAGGGAUACCCGCUGAACUUAAGCAUAUCAAUAAGCGGAGGA
rnacentral:misc_RNA from 1 species